rnacentral:rRNA from 1 species
AUUGAACGCUGGCGGCAGGCCUAACACAUGCAAGUCGAACGAGUGGCGGACGGGUGAGUAAUGUCUGGGAAACUGCCCGAUGGAGGGGGAUACCUACUGGAAACGGUAGCUAAUACCGCAUACCAUCGGAUUGGCCCAGAUGGGAUUCGCUAGUAGGUGGGGUAACGGCUCACCUAGGCGACGAUCCCUAGCUGGUCUGAGAGGAUGACCAGCCACAUUGGAACUGAGACACGGUCCAGACACCUACGGGAGGCAGCAGUGGGGAAUAGUGCACAAUGGGCGCAAGCCUGAUGCAGCAAUGCCGCGUGUAUGAAGAAGGCCGUCGGGUUGUAAAGUACUUUCAGCGGGGAGGCGUUACCCGCAGAAGAAGCACCGGCUAACUCCGUGCCAGCAGCCGCGGUAAUUC